AGGGGUGUGGCUUAGUGGCAGAGCACUCGCCUGGCACAUGUGAGGCCCUGGGUUCAAUCCUCAGCACCACAU
rfam:Ictidomys tridecemlineatus contig001190, whole genome shotgun sequence.